rnacentral:lncRNA from 1 species
UUUGGUACGUAAAUUAAUCCAAAUAUGUAUGUUAAAGAGAUUGAGACUAGAGCUACUAUAUUCUUAUGAAUAUAAAUUUUUUUCUAUUAAUAAAUUUUCGGUCGUUAGAUAGAAAAAUGUGCGAUUAGAAUAAUAGUGGCCUCAGAUUAGGAUGGUAGUGGUCCUAUAUUAGGAUUGAGUUGGUUGUCGGUUGAAUAAUAUGAUCUAACGGAUGGAAAUAAUCAAAGCAGUAAAUCUAACGGCCGAAAACUUAGGAGUACGAAGAGGUCUUUACUCAUAAGAGUACAGUAGCCAGACUCAAGAAAUCGAAACAAUUAAUAAAGGAGUGCUUUUGUUUCAUUCAUUAACUAAGUACUUAAUUUGUACCUAUUGGCUCUUAUAUAUAUAUUUGGGUUAAUUACAUACAGAUUCCUACAAACAUAGUAAAAUACAAAUAUACAUUCCUACAAAGUUCAAUUUUCAUAUGUUAUUUCUGUAAAAGUUCUAAUAUUUCAAAUAUGUCCCCGCCGUUAGGAUCCGUUAGAAAAAUUUUGUUAACUAUAGAUAUAAUACUUAACCCUGGUUAGUCAAUGACACAAAUUGAUAUUUUUACCCCUCUUAUUUUAUAUUUUCUUCUCUCAAUUAAAAUCAUAGCAAUAGAAACUCUUCUUCCUCCUCCUGCUCUUCCUCUUUCUCUCUCCUUCAUGCUAGUUUCGAAUAUGUAAUUUGAAUUUCUCUAUCCCCAUUCAUCCACAUCAAAUGCGUGUUGCUCCUCUCAGUUUUUUCUAUGAUUUUUUCUUAUUUUUCUUAAAAAAAAAUUUAGGAGAAAAAGAGAGAGAAGAUAUUGCAACAAUGGUGGAUUGAUGUUAGGUUUUAAAAAGGAAGAAGAUGAGGAAAAGAUAACUAUUGAAAAUUUUUUGGGGAGAUAUUUUUGCACGAUUAUAAUAGUUGAGGCUUUUGAAGGGACAUAUUUGUCAUGAUAAAAUUGGCAUUUUACUUAUAUGCUGUUAAAAAAUAAAAAAAAUUUUAACGGUAACUAAUUAGAAUGACAUAUUUAAAAUUAUUAGGACUUUUAUGGUAACAACAUAUAAAAGUUGAACUUUAUAUAAAUAUAUUUUUUAAUUCACUAUAUUUACAAGGAUCUGUAUACAAUUUACCUUAUAUAUUUUGUGCAAUCUAUAAUUGUUA